rnacentral:rRNA from 1 species
GACGAACGCUGGCGGCGUGCUUAACACAUGCAAGUCGAACGGAAAGGCCCUGCUUUUGUGGGGUGCUCGAGUGGCGAACGGGUGAGGAACACGAGAGUAACCUGCCCUUGACUUUGGGAUAACUUCAGGAAACUGGGGCUAAUACCGGAUAGGAGCUCCUGCUGCAUGGUGGGGGUUGGAAAGUUUCGGCGGUUGGGGAUGGACUCGCGGCUUAUCAGCUUGUUGGUGGGGGAGGGGCUUACCAAGGCUUUGACGGGUAGCCGGCCUGAGAGGGUGACCGGCCACAUUGGGACUGAGAUACGGCCCAGACUCCUACGGGAGGCAGCAGUGGGGAAUAUUGCACAAUGGGCGGAAGCCUGAUGCAGCAACGCCGCGUGCGGGAUGACGGCCUUCGGGUUGUAAACCGCUUUCGCCUGUGACGAAGCGUGAGUGACGGUAAUGGGUAAAGAAGCACCGGCUAACUACGUG